rnacentral:rRNA from 1 species
CCUACGGGUGGCAGCAGUGAGGAAUAUUGGUCAAUGGGCGAGAGCCUGAACCAGCCAAGUCGCGUGAGGGAGUACUGCCCAAUGGGUUGUAAACCUCUUUUGUCGGGGAGCAAAAGCCGGACGUGUCCGGCUGUGAGAGUACCCGAAGAAAAAGCAUCGGCUAACCCCGUGCCAGCAGCCGCGGUAAUACGGAGGAUGCGAGCGUUAUCCGGAUUUAUUGGGUUUAAAGGGUGCGCAGGAGGAUUUUUAAGUCAGCGGUAAAAUCGUGGGGCUCAACCCCAUCCAGCCGUUGAAACUGGGGAUCUAGAGUGUGCGAGAGGUAUGCGGAAUGCGUGGUGUAGCGGUGAAAUGCAUAGAUAUCACGCAGAACCCCGAUUGCGAAGGCAGCAUACCGGUGCACAACUGACGCUCAGGCACGAAAGCGUGGGUAUCGAACAGGAUUAGAUACCCCUGUAGUC